AACGACCACGUGUAGAGGAAAUAUACGACUACCUCACUGGUGCCGGGGCGUGGACAAUAGAUAAACUAUUCGACGGGAUUGAUGCUGAAGUUGUGGCAAAAGCCUUAGCAACUGCAGGAGACUUAAAGGAUCUUCAGCUCAUUCUUGGUCUGAGCAACGAAUCGGUAAUGAACAUC
rnacentral:lncRNA from 1 species